rnacentral:rRNA from 1 species
CCUACGGGAGGCAGCAGUGAGGAAUAUUGGUCAAUGGCCGAGAGGCUGAACCAGCCAAGUCGCGUGAGGGAAGAAUGUCCUAUGGAUUGUAAACCUCUUUUGUCAGGGAGCAAAGUCACCCACGUGUGGGUGUUGGAGAGUACCUGAAGAAAAAGCAUCGGCUAACUCCGUGCCAGCAGCCGCGGUAAUACGGAGGAUGCGAGCGUUAUCCGGUUUUAUUGGGUUUAAAGGGUGCGUAGGGGGGUUAUCAAGUCAGCGGUAAAAGCGUGGGGCUAAACGGCAUCCAGCCGGUGAAACUGAUGAUCGUGAGUGGGCGAGAAGUAGGCGGAAUGCGUGGUGUAGCGGUGAAAUGCAUAGAUAUCACGCAGAACCCCGAUUGCGAAGGCAGCAUACCGGCGCCCGACUGACGCUGAAGCACGAAAGCGUGGGUAUCGAACAGGAUUAGAUACCCUAGUAGUC